AUUGAACGCUGGCGGCAUGCCUUACACAUGCAAGUCGAACGGCAGCGCGGGGCAACCUGGCGGCGAGUGGCGAACGGGUGAGUAAUAUAUCGGAACGUGCCCUGGAGUGGGGGAUAACGUAGCGAAAGUUACGCUAAUACCGCAUACGAUCCAAGGAUGAAAGCAGGGGACCUUCGGGCCUUGUGCUCCUGGAGCGGCCGAUAUCUGAUUAGCUAGUUGGUGGGGUAAAAGCCUACCAAGGCGACGAUCAGUAGCUGGUCUGAGAGGACGACCAGCCACACUGGAACUGAGACACGGUCCAGACUCCUACGGGAGGCAGCAGUGGGGGAAUUUUGGACAAUGGGGGGCAACCCUGAUCCAGCAAUGCCGCGUGUGUGAAGAAGGCCU
rnacentral:rRNA from 1 species